UACGUAGGGGGCAAGCGUUGUCCGGAUUUAUUGGGCGUAAAGAGCGUGUAGGCGGCCAGACAGGUCCGUUGUGAAAACUCGAGGCUCAACCUCGAGACGCCGAUGGAAACCGUCUGGCUAGAGUCCGGAAGAGGAGAGUGGAAUUUCCGGUGUAGCGGUGAAAUGCGUAGAUAUCAGGAAGAACACCCGUGGCGAAGGCGGCUCUCUGGGGACGGUACUGACGCUGAGACGCGAAAGCGUGGGGAGCGAACAGG
rnacentral:rRNA from 1 species